GGGCCCGUAGCUCAAUGGUAGAGCAGCAGCCUUUUAAGCUGUUGGUUGAGCGUUCGAAUCGCUCCGGGCUCACAA
rnacentral:tRNA from 5 species